rnacentral:rRNA from 1 species
AGAUUGAACGCUGGCGGCAGGCCUAACACAUGCAAGUCGAGCGGCAGCACGGGUACUUGUACCUGGUGGCGAGCGGCGGACGGGUGAGUAAUGCCUAGGAAUCUGCCUGGUAGUGGGGGAUAACGCUCGGAAACGGACGCUAAUACCGCAUACGUCCUACGGGAGAAAGCAGGGGACCUUCGGGCCUUGCGCUAUCAGAUGAGCCUAGGUCGGAUUAGCUAGUUGGUGAGGUAAUGGCUCACCAAGGCGACGAUCCGUAACUGGUCUGAGAGGAUGAUCAGUCACUAGUGGAACUGAGACACGGUCCAGACUCCGUACGGGAGGCAGCAAGUGGGAAUUAGUGGACAGUGGGACGAAAGCCUGGACUCCAGCCAGUCGCCCGUCGUGGU